UUUAAAUGCAACCGUAAGUUUCCACGUCUAACUUUGAUCGUCUGUCUUAUUUGAAAAAUAAAUUUAUAAUUAGUAUUUUUAUUGUUUUGAGAUAAUAAAACAUGGACAGUACUUUACUCGUGACUUGUGUUUUAAAAUUUUUUUCAAAUAAGAUAGACGGUCAAAGUUGGGCGCGGAGAAAAUCUUGGCUGCACUUAAA
rfam:Oryza glaberrima chromosome 6 Oglab06_0184_7, whole genome shotgun sequence.